GAGUUUGAUCCUGGCUCAGGACGAACGCUGGCGGCGUGCUUAACACAUGCAAGUCGAACGGAAAGGCCCCAACUUUUUUGGUGGGGGUGCUCGAGUGGCGAACAGGUGAGUAACACGUGGGUGAUCUGCCCUGCACUUCAGGAUAAGCUUGGGAAAGUGGGUCUAAUACCGGAUAGGACCAUGGUUUAAUGUCUCAUGGUGGAAAAAUUAGUGUUUUGAGUGCAAGAUGAACUCGCGGCCUAUCGACUGUGUUGGUGGGGUAAUGGCCUAACACGGCGUCGACCGGUAACCAGCCUGAGACGGUGGACAGCCACAUUGGGACCGAGAUACCGCCCAGACGCCUACGGGAGGCAUCAUUGGGGAAGAUUGAACAAUGGGCGCAAGCCCGAUGCAUCGACGCACGCGUGGGGGAUGACCGCCUUCUGGUUGUAAACUCCUUUAAUUAGGGACGAACCCACACUUUUUUUGGGUGUGGUGACCGUACCUUUGUCAACAAUCACCCGCAAGCUACAUGCCAUCCUCCGCAGCAAUACGUAUGGUGCAAGCGUUGUCCGGAAAUACUGGGCGUAGAGAGCUCGUAUGUGGUUUGUUGCGUACUCUGUGAGAUUCCGGGGCUCUAACAUCGAGGUGGACAGCGCGAUACAGGCAUAACUAUAGUGCUGUAUGGGAGACAUGUAAUUCCUGGUGUACCGGGGGAAUGCGCUCAUAUCAGGAGGAACACCGAUGGCGAAGUCAGGUCUCUGGGCAGUAACUGACGCUGAGGAGCGAAAGCAUGGGGAGCGAACAGGAUUAGCAUACCGUGGUAGUCCCUGUUGUAAACGGUGGGUGUUAGGUGUGGGGACCGUUUUGGUUUUUGUGCAGUAGAUAACGCAUUAAGCGCCCCGCGUGGGGAGUACGGCCGCAAGGCUAAAACUCAAAGGAAUUGACGGGGGCCCCCACAAGCGGCGGCAGCAUGUGGAUUAUAUUCGAUGCAACGCGAAGCACCUUCCGUGGGUUUGACAUGCACCAUACGGUUGUGGAGAUAGGUACUUCCCUUGGUGGUUGGUGUGCAGGUGGUGCAUGGUGGUGUUCUGCUCGUGUCUUGAGAUGUUGGGUUAAGUCCCGCAACGAGCGCAACCCUUGUGUUAUGUUGCCAGCACGUUUGGGUGGGGACUCUUGAGAGACUGCGCGGGGUUAACUGGGAGGAAGGUGGGGAUGACGUCAAAUCAUCAUGCCCCUUAUGCUCAGGGCUUCACACAUGGUACAAUGGUUAGUACAACGCGGUGGGAGCCUGUGAGGGUGAGGGAAUUGUUGAAAGUUAAUCUCAGUUCGGAUUGGGGUCUGCAACUCGACCCCAUGAAGUCGGAGUCGCUAGUAAUCGCAGAUCAGCAAUGCUGCGGUGAAUACGUUCCCGGGCCUUGCACACACCGCCCGUCA
rnacentral:rRNA from 1 species